rnacentral:lncRNA from 7 species
AGAAAGGCUCUGUAUAUUAUACUAGAUGGUAUUUAUUUGCACUGACAGUGCAGAUACUGAGCUCCAGGGAAACAGUAGUAAAUAAAAACGAUAAUCAGUGAACUGCAGAAGAGUCCUUUUUCUUUGGUUAUUUGAAGCAAAAUUCACAUGAACAAACGAUAUUUAAAAAAACAAAAACAAAACAUGUAUGCUGUGCUUCAGACAAUAGUUAUAACUGAACAAAUCUUUGGACUAAUGGAUGAAUAUUAUCUUGGCUGUACAGAAGAGUGAAAGAUCUACUUCAGUAAAAUAUUCAAGAAGUGUUUUGUGAAUGCACGAAAUGGAUCCCUGUGGAGAUGGAGAAUGAGAUGAAGAGAAAUCAGAAAGACUGAUUAUGCUGAAACCAGUGCUACAAAAGAGGAUGCUUGAAAGGACAAGUGGUGAUGUUUACUGUGGUUUAUCCCAAGGCAGGCUCCAUAUCAUCAGUGAUAAAGAUUCUUCUCCUCUGUUCAGAUUUCUCAACAAGAUGUUUUCAGUGAUGGCUUGUAUGUACAAGGAGAUUCUGGUGAUUGAGAAAAACAGUAAUGAAGAGUGAACAGCUGUGAUCAAAUGGAAACCUGGUACAUAGCCCUUACCAUGAUCCAGCACAGGACUAAAACAUACGAGAAGAAUGAGUUUACUUCUAGAUUAAAAUCAAAGAAAAGGAAUAAAAAUAUAGCAAAUACUUUGGAGUAUGGGAAGAAUGCCCCAGUUUUUGUUUUGAUCUUUCUGGAGAGUGGGAAGACUUGACUGUCAUACCAACCUUGAUUUGGGUAUGAGCCAAAAGCAACAAAACUCUAUAAGAAGCUUUCCACUGAAUCAUGCCUCCAAUUCUUUGAAGAGUAUCACAACAUAAACAAUUAAAUUUGCCUUGAGAACAGAAGACUUCCCUCAAAACCAGUGAUAAAUAUUCAGUAAAAAUGAAUUGCAUGUUUACCACAAAAUCUGUAGUUUAAUUGCAGAAUAAUAAACUGUGAUUAU